CCUACGGGAGGCAGCAGUGGGGAAUAUUGCACAAUGGGGGAAACCCUGAUGCAGCGACGCCGCGUGAGCGAUGAAGUAUUUCGGUAUGUAAAGCUCUAUCAGCAGGGAAGAAAGUGACGGUACCUGACUAAGAAGCCCAGGCUAACUACGUGCCAGCAGCCACGGUAAUACGGAGGGGGCACGCGUUAUCCGGAUUUACUGGGUGGAAAGGGAGCGUAGACGGUCCUGCAAGCCAGAUGUGAAAGCCCGGGGCUCAACUCCGGGACUGCAUUUGGAACUGUAAGGCUAGAGUGUCGGAGAGGCAGGCGGAAUUCCUAGUGUAGCGGUGAAAUGCGUAGAUAUUAGGAGGAACACCAGUGGCGAAGGCGGCCUGCUGGACGAUGACUGACGUUGAGGCUCGAAAGCGUGGGGAGCAAACAGGAUUAGAUACCCGUGUAGUC
rnacentral:rRNA from 1 species